rnacentral:rRNA from 1 species
CCUACGGGAGGCAGCAGUGAGGAAUAUUGGUCAAUGGACGAGAGUCUGAACCAGCCAAGUAGCGUGAAGGAUGACUGCCCUAUGGGUUGUAAACUUCUUUUAUAUGGGAAUAAAACAGGGUAUGUAUACCCUCCUGCAUGUAUCAUAUGAAUAAGGAUCGGCUAACUCCGUGCCAGCAGCCGCGGUAAUACGGAGGAUCCGAGCGUUAUCCGGAUUUAUUUGGUUUAAAGGGUGCGUAGGUGGAUGGUUAAGUCAGUUGUGAAAGUUUGCGGCUCAACCGUAAAAGUGCAGUUGAAACUGGCAGUCUUGAGUACAGGAGAGGUAGGCGGAAUGCGCGGUGUAGCGGUGAAAUGCUUAGAUAUCACGAAGAACUCCGAUUGCGAAGGCAGCUCACUGGACUGCAACUGACACUGAGGCACGAAAGUGUGGGUAUCAAACAGGAUUAGAUACCCUAGUAGUC